UUGCUUUCAAUUUCAAAUCUUUUUCAAAACAAUAUGCAAUAACGCAAAUAACUUGUGAGCUUUUUUUUUUUUAAAUGACUAAAAGUCUAAUUAAUGCAUGUGAAAUUAGUGUUACCAACAUCUGCAUAAAGUAUCAUCACUAUCUUCAUCUUUGUCUUCAUACUAAUUAAUUAUAUCAUCAAUGAAAAUUGUUUAUGUAGGCAUGGAAUAUUUCAGAUUCGAAGCAUCUGGGCAGAUGGACCAAACAUGAUAACUCAGUGUCCAAUAAGACCUGGAAAUAGCUACACUUACAAAUUUAGAAUCAUCAAUCAAGAAGGAACCCUUUGGUGGCAUGCUCACAUCUCAAUGCUGCGAGCCACGGUCCACGGUGCUUUUAUCAUCCGCCCUAAGUCUGGUCACAAGUAUCCAUUUCCUAAACCCGAUAAAGAAGUUCCCAUUGUUCUCGGUAUAUAUUUUAUUAAUAUAAUCAUUUUCACUACCAAUUAGGCACGAGAAUUUUAUUUGAUGAUAUAUUAGUAAUUGACACAUAAAUCUAAUUACAGGAGAGUGGUGGAAUGACGAUAUCAUGGAUGUUGCCAACCGAGGGGAAAUUACCGGUGUAGGUCCUAGAAUUUCCGAUGCUUUCACCAUCAAUGGAAGGCCUGGAGACCUCUAUCCCUGCUCGGAAAAUCGUAUGGAUCAUAAUUAUACCAACCCAAUUGAUUGAAAAGCGUCAUAAGUAGACAUAUAAAUUUUCCUCAAGUUAAUUAGUACGUUAUUUUUUCAUUAAUUAUGUGUUAUUAUUUCAUUUACUUGUCAGAAACAUACAAGCUUAAGGUUGAGAAAGGGAAGACCUAUCUCCUACGUAUUAUCAACGCUGCACUCAAUAACCAGCUCUUCUUCAAGAUAGCCAAUCACAAAUUUACAGUCGUCGCCGUUGACGCUGGGUACACUGAUCCCUACGUCACCGAUGUGGUGGUGAUAGCUCCCGGCCAAACCACUGACGUUCUGCUAAAAGCCGACCAGCCAGUGGGUUCUUAUUACAUGGCUGCAAGAGCAUACGCUGCCCCGCCGCCGACGCUAGUAGCGUUCAAUAUGAACACCACGAGAGGCAUCGUUGUCUACGAUGGUGCCAGCACGGCCAAUCCUAUAAUGCCAGCCUUACCAGCUUACAAUGAUACGCCUACAGCCUACACAUUUUACAGUAAUAUAACUGGAUUAAGUGGUGGACCUCAAUGGGUCCCAUGCCCACGUCGAGUGGAUGAACGUAUGUUUGUGACUUUAGGAUUGGGGCUUGAGCAAUGCCCAGCAAAUGCCACAUGUCAAGGUCCGGGCUCGCAAAGACUCUCUGCCAGCAUGAACAAUCAUUCAUUCCAGGCCCCCACAAGUUUGUCAAUUCUACAAGCAUAUUUCUUCAACGUGGGUGGAGUUUACGAGCCCAAUUUCCCAAACCAGCCUCCCGUCAAAUUUGACUACACAAACACUAACGUCAGCAACGACAUGUCACUGCUGUUUCCUCCAAAAACAACGAGCGUCAAGAUGUUGAAGUUCAACUCGACGGUGGAGAUGGUCCUGCAAAACACAGCGUUGAUCGCGGUGGAGAGUCAUCCCAUGCACCUUCACGGCUACGACUUUUACGUAUUGGCUCAAGGGUUCGGAAACUAUAACGCCUCCAGAGACAGCAAAAACUUCAAUCUCGUCAACCCACAGAGGCGUAACACCAUUGCUGUUCCUAUCGGUGGAUGGGCCGUUAUCAGAUUCCGCGCAAAUAAUCCAGGUUAGGCUUUUUUUUUUUUUUUUGACAUUUCAUUUCAUCAUUUCAUUUCAGGACGGGAUCCCUACGUGACUAACAUCAAAUAGUAGUGGAGAAAAUUAAAAUGUUGCAGACAAUAGGGACUUAUUUGCAAUUUUCCUUUUGACCGACUGUUGAUUGUUGAACUUUACAGGUGUUUGGUUCAUGCACUGCCACUUUGACGUUCACUUACCGUGGGGUCUGGCCACGACUUUUAUUGUUGAAAAUGGGCCGACGCCGUCGACGAUGUUGCCUCCUCCACCGGCUGACCUUCCCCAGUGCUAGAAGUUCAUCCAUUAUUAUUAAUUCCACAAAAAAUAAAAUUAAAAACAAUUGUGCUAUUUUCUGAAUAAAAAGCUUUCAUUCAUUAAUUGUUUGUAAUUUGUCAAGUGUUUCAGUUCCAUUCAUUUGUUAAAGUUCCAAAAAAGAUUUGUUAUUGAUGUAAUAAUGGUGGUAACCAGUAACCGAUGUAUUAAGUUCAUUUUUCAUUGUAAUAACAGUAAAAUUAGUAAUUAAUCUUUUUUUUUUCUCUUUAACCUUCCUUAGUAGCAACAGCAUCUUUGUCGAAUAAUUCCAAUUAUCUUUCAUAUUUUACUGGGUAUUUUUUUUUUUAUAGUCGUUAGGACUAACUAAUUUUAUUACCAUAAGGAAGUUAUAAUUUAGUAGAAGUUUAAUUCCAAAAUUAUUAUUUUUAACUUAAUUAUCCUUAUUGUAACUAAUAUAAAGGUAAAUAAAUUAAUAAUUAAUUAUCAAUGAGGCAUGUCAAUUCUAUAAAACUUUAAACAUGCUUGGGAAAUUAUAAAUAUUUUAACUUCAACAAUAAUGCAUACAUACUACUGAGUUACUAUGUGCCUAUAUUCUAUAAGUUUGAAAAUGUGAUAACAACUCUAAGAAACAAAUUAUUGUCAAAUAAUUUCUAAAAAAAAUUUAUUCCAUGUUAAACCUCUAAUAUUAAAUAUAUACUUUUGCAAUAUAUGAAUAUUCAAGAUGGGAUGUCUAACAUUUAUAAAUUUUUACAAUGUGCAAAUUACUUGAGAUGGGAUCUAAAACAUUUAUAACUUAUCACAAUGUUGAAUUCGUUUUUAUUUAGAACGUUUUACGAAGUUUUACUUAUCUCUUCAAAUCUACCCAGCAGAAGCACAAAAUAAAAACUUUCGCCGUUGCCGGGGAUCGAACCCGGGUCACCCGCGUGACAGGCGGGAAUACUCACCACUAUACUACAACGACUUGAUGAUGAUUGUUGGCUCAUUCAUUAAAGUAUAACCGUGACAUGCCAACAGCUGACCCUGCAAAUAAUUUGCUUUCAAGUAUUAAGGAUUUUUCUUUGUGGAUCUUUUGUUAUAAAUUUAUAAUGCAUGGUUUGAUAAUCUAUCGUCUUAAUGACCUAAAAAUACAUUAACAAUAGUAAUUAUUUUUUUUUUUGGGAUUAUAUACACGAUUUAUUCUUAAAUAAAUAUGUCUGCUUAUGAUAUAUAAUUGUUUUGUUUUUGGAUUAUUGCUAACUGUUGUGUUUUAAGGGCCAUAUAUUUGUUUGUUUUUUCAAUUACUAAUUAAUAUCAUGAUUAAUGCAACUUAUUUUACAUGUGUUAUAUUUUUGUUUUAAGAUUCAAAAUUUAACGACGGCUUUAUGUUGGAGAGUGGAGCCUCUUAGCAAAAGAAGCCUUGUUAAACUUACAAAUUCAUCCAACUAUUGCAGUUCUCCUUACUUUUGUAGCCAAAAUAUUGCUGGCAAUUUAGCGCACACACUAAAAUAUUGCAUUUGUCCCUAAAAAUAUCAAUAAUUGUUUUUAGGUUCUUGUACUAUAUAUUAUACUCAUGCCAUUAGUUUAAUUAAUGUGAUAUGUCCAUCAAAGCAUGAUUUUGUAUAUUAAUAAGUCACAUGUACCCUUCAAUGGUAAACUUGGAACGUUUAAAUUAUAACAUCAAGAAUAUAAUAGAGCAUUAGGAGAAAAAAAAAAACAUAGAAUGCAAGUGAUAAAAAUGUGAAAUAUUAGAAACCUAAUCGUUCUCCCUAUAAUUAAAUGCAUAAUAUUUUUGCACAUUUCUUGAGGAGAUGAUGAACAAGAUUUCUGAUACUUUAGAGAUUAUUCACCAAAAGAGAAGAUAAUUUUUCAUUCAAAAAUGAUAUUUUUAGCUGCUAUUUCUUUUGCUUAUCUUGAAAUCCUAUUCGCUCGCAAUUAAGAAAGAACAUAUGAAUUUCUAUAUAUUUAUAUUUUUAAUGAUAAGAUAUUUUAACAUUUUAAUUUUGAAUAUGGCCAUCUGUCAAUGAAAGAAGGGUUCUCUUAGGAUUUGAUAGUUGAUAAACGGGAACAUAAUUAGAAAAUAAAAUCCUUUUCUACAAAGAUGUCAUAUACAAUACAAUUAAAGUCCAAUACAACUAAAAUUCAGUAAAAUGUACAAUCAAUCUAAAAUAUCAAAAUCUAAUACAAUUAAAGCCCAAUGUAAUUAAUAAUAAAUUCUCACAAUUAUUAGGGAGACUCAAUCCCUCCACUUAAAUUUAAAAGAAGGGGUACCAACUAAUCCAACCAAAUAACUAUUAACUAUUUAAAAAAUAAGCCUUAACUAUAUAGGAUCCGCUAACUUACGUUGAAUGUAAGUUACGGUCAGUCUGUAAAAUUUCAUCUAGCCCCCUAUGCUCUAUAUUAUUUAUAUUUUAUUUAUGAAUAUUAUAAAUUUUUUGAAAUGUAAAAUUUCAUUUAACCCCUUAUACUCAAUUUUAUUUUAUUGAAACCAUAGAGUAUGAAUUCGCCCCCAUAAUUUUAAAUUCUCAAAAUAAUCUCCAUUUAAUUAAAAAAUAUAAUUAUUUUUAAAUAAAUUAUAAUUAUAAUUAUAAUUUUAUUAUAAUCAUAAAUAUUUUUUUAAAUAGAUUAUUGUUAUUAUUAAUAACAAGAAUAAAAAGCAUUAUAAAUUGUAAAAAGUAUAGAAAUAUAAAAGAGUCUCCUACAUAAAUAUAGACUCAGUGUUUAUUCCAUUUUAUUAUAAUCAUAAAUAUGUUAAUUAUCAUUAAUUAUUAUUAUUAUUAUUACUAACAAUUUAAUAAAAAAAUAUUAUUAAUUAUUGUUAAUAGAUUAAUUAAUUAUAAUAUUUUUUAUUAUCAUUAUUAAUAAUAACAAUAAUCUAUUAAAAAAAUAUUUAUGAUUAUAAUAAAAUUAUAAUUAUAAAUAUAAUUCAUUUAACAAUAAUUAUAUUUUUUUAAUUAAAUGGAGGUUAUCUUGAGAAUUUAAAAUUAUGGGGGCGAAUUCAUACUCCAUGGUUUUAAUAAAAUAAAAUUGAGUAGAGGGGAUUAAACGAAAUUUUAUAUUUCAAAAAGUUUAUAAUAUUCAUGAAUAAAGUAUAAAUAAUAUAGAGUAUAAGGGGCUAGAUGAAAUUUCACAGGCGGACCGUAACUUACAUUCAACGUAAGUUAGGCGGACCCUAACUAUAUAAGUGUAUUAAAAAAAUGAUUGUGUGUAUAUAUAUAUAUAUAUAUAUUAUCCAAAAAUAUGAUAUGCUCAGAUUAUUGGAAGAUCUUCAUCCCACCAAUGAGCUCUAUCAUUCAUUCUAUAUUCAUUUUUUCUGUUUUGUGAAUUACUUAAUUUGGUUCUGUAAUUCAAGGUGGCGUCAACUCAAGAUUAAAGUAUUUCGAAACAAGAAGAAAAUAUUAGAUUGUGUGAUUAUAAAUAAAUAAAGUCGUUUGUUUCUUAGAAAGCUGAACUUUGUUGCUCACCUAGCUUACGGAAUGGGACUUUAUUUUAAUUGGUUUAUGGCCCAGUUUUCAAAUAAACUCGUGUAAACUACUUAACAUUUCAACAUCGGAUGUGAUAAAUAAAUCGUUUGUUAAUAUCCCGUUACGUGCCGCACAUUAAUUAAAUGGUUUACCAAUUCUCUGUGACUGAGUGACUUCAUAGCUAGCAGAUUUUAUUCAUAUGAUAUGAAUAUGAACAUUUGAAAAGCAAGUGAUCUCCAUUAGCCCACGCGGCCACGCCCCACAGUAACCAGCCGACCGUUGACCAAUUUGUAUAGUUUCCGUGCACGUGAUCUUAUACGAUCCUAAAAGGCCUCCUGAACAACUCAUUAUGAGCUAAAAUCAAAUCAGAAAAUCAUCCAUAUAUUGUAAAAAUUAUUUCUAGUUUAACAUGUGAAUAAUGAAAGUAUCAUGACCAUUAUAGUAAGCAAUAAUGAAAAUACGGAAGAAAUCCGAAAUUAUGUGAUUGAUAUUGUUCCUUUUGGUCAUACAUUUUUCAUAUACAAUUUGAACUUUCUGGCCACCUUGAAUAUAGAAGAGUGGACGUUUAUUUCUUAGCAUUUAAUUGUAUUAGGUUAGGAAGUUUAAAUAUUGAGGCCAAGAGUCUAUUGGAUGGGGAGACUUAUCCUACAAAUAUAUUUAAGUGAUUUUAUUUACAAGCCAAUAUGAAAAACAACUCAACAAUCAACUUAGGGGCCAAACCUUAUUCUAUUUAUAUGCUUAAGUGACUUUAAUUUACAAGUUAAUGCGGAAAAAAAAUUAGCAAUCACACUAGGGAUGAAACUCUAUCCUACUUAUAUGCUUAAGCGACUCGUAUUUACAAGUCUAACAUAGAAAACAACUCAACAAUCUCCUAGGAGAAAUUACAUGUAUAUAUAUUUGGCCACUACAACUAAAUUAAUAAGAACUUUUAGUUAUCUUCGUAGCCAAAUCAAAUCUGCAUAUAUUUCGUUACUGCCCGAUUCUCAUUAGAUCUUACACAUGAGGAGUAUGUAUUAAAUUUGAUUAACAUACUUAUCUUCUAUCAUUGCCUAAUACUUUAAUUAAGCUUUUGCAUCCAACAAUUUUCCUAAUAUAACGAAUCAAUAACUCAUAAUAAACUAAAAAAUCUAUGAAAUGAAAACUAUGUUUUAAUCUAGUGGUUGAGCAGGUGAUCAGCGACGGACCACGUGGCUUUAGUUGGGAGAGCUGUGCGAUCCACGCGAUCCACCUUCACCAUAUCGCUUCUCAUUUUAAUAUAAUUGGAUAUAUGCCAGUUGGGUCAUUGGAGUAAGAAAUCAGAGUUCCCAGUUCCCACUGGACAUACACAUUCCAUUACUAAGUAAAUAAUCUUGGACGCUAACGCAAGCGACCGACUUUCAUCAAUCUGGAUAAUAUAUCUGUAGUCGUCAGUAUUCACCUAACGAACAAUACAAGUUCAAAACGUUUUCUCUUAACCUAAUAAAAUCAUUAUUCCUAUAAUAAUAAAAACGAUGAUAGGUUGAGCUGUGUGGAAAAAAGAACAACAAUAAUGACCUUGAAUAAGACUUUGUUAGCAAAUUAAAAUAACAUAAUCAUGAAGAUAUCAAAUCACCGAAAGCUUUCAUCAUAGAAGCAAUGGUUUAAUUUGCUUGUGAACAGUAUUCUUGAUUUCUCAUGAUAAUUUUAAUUGGUCAAAAGCUGAAUGAUUAGGUUUGUGAUUGGUUCAUUUUGCGGGGCCCCGCUCGUAAACUAAUGCGGUUGUAUACAUAUCAUGCCAGCCCCAAGUUAUUUUUUUUUUCUAACGUUUCUUCUAAGAACGUGAGGUAAAGUUAAUGAUAUUAAAUUUCAAAUGACUUUUCUUUUGGAAUAGUAGUGAAGGAACCUUUUGAUAUUGGACUUGAGUAAAAAUUUGGGUGAUUGGCUUCUUUAAUACAUCUGUAUAAGAUUAAAGAUUAAUUCAUUAACAGGUGAUUAUCAUGGAUUUUCAAAAAUUUUCUAAUUAAUUUGACUAUAGGUGAUUGUAACUAGCUAUGUCCUCAUCUGAUUUUUGGUCAAGAAAAAUUGGUCAUAUACAAAUGUUAUCCGCGGAUUGAGGGGUUUAUUAUAGGGAGUGGGAGAUUAGCAUACUUGAACUAAUUAAGGUAUGAUUACAGGAUCAAUUCAAUUUUGACAAUGUGGGUCAUUAUGAUAAGUUAAGCUGAUCAGAAAUGACUUCUAUUAUAGAUUUUCGUUUGCUUAAUGUAGACUUUCUAAUAGAAUUCUGGCACUGCAUGCCAACUUGCCACCAAAAAGUAACAUCUGCGACUAUAAAUAUAACUAUUAUUGUGCUAGAUGAAUUUAGCUAUAAAUAUAACUAUUAUUGUGAUAGAUGAAUUUAGCUGAUACAAUUAAUUAUGGUGCACAUUCUUUUACAAAAAGUAUAUGGACCUAUCUCAUACUUAAAAGUUGGUUAAAAAAUUAAAGAAUUAUUUCAAUCUUAUAUUCUUAGCCUAAAAUCUAUUAUUAGCCGGCUUGAGAUUUGAAAAUUUUUUGCCGAAGGAUCAACAUAUAUGUGGGUGCGCGACUAUGACAAAUUAAUUAUGCAAUUUUUUGUAGUUAUUUUCUAAGUUGUAGUGAAUGAAACUAUGGAAAUAAGUGAGAAGUAAAUUCCAAUUCCGCUGUUGUGUUUCCAGGGAAAAUUAAAGUAAACGCUUGUAGGAAAACCCCAAAAAAAGAAGUAAUUCUGGCAUUUGCAUCAUUUUCGUAAUUAAACACUUCAAAAAAAGAGCUUGCUUGCUUUAAGAACCAAAUUUUAUGACUUUUGUAUUAUUGAUGAAGACUUUGAUGGCCAAACCUAAACCGUUAGAUAAAGAAACUUCUGCCACCACAUUAAAUGGGUGCCCUCGAAUAUUAAUCCUUAUUAAAAAACCCAUAUUGUCGCCUUCAAUUAACUAAGUUAUCACGCAAUAACUGAGUCAAAUAUAUACAAGUUUGCCAAGAAGCUAGCCUGUCUAUAAUUUAUUCAAUAUAGAUAUAGCAGUUGAAAUUUCACAUUAGAAAGAAAUAUUUUAUUUAAUAAAAAUAAAUUAAGGGCGCGUCCCUGGAAGAACCAUGAGUUGAUUCCUUAUUUAAAGAGAGCUCGCAAAUCUCAUUGCAUAGGAUCACAGAGCCUUCUAAUUUCUUCAUUUGCAUAGCCAUAGGCUCCUAUAUACUUCUCUUCAUUCCUUUUGAGCUCUAUAGCUAGCAUUAAUUAAUUCAACAUAUGGCGCAUUCUACGCUUUUGCUAGCAUGCGCUUUAGUUGUCUUAGCUUCUUCUACAUUGGCUUCUGCCGCAAUCGUCGAGCACACAUUCCAUGUAUUAUUUUCACUUAAUUUUUUGUACAGUGAGUGCAUGCAUGCAUGCAACAUAAAACAAACACUUAUUUUCUAUAAUACGUGACCAAUUUACUCUUGUAGGUUAAUAAUAACGGUCGUUAUUUUUGUCAAUAGGUGAAAAACUUGACGAUUGGGCGGCUGUGCAGACAGCAAACGAUAACGGCAGUUAACGGAAGCCUCCCCGGUCCAACGAUACGCGUUCACGAGGGUGACACUCUGAUUGUUCAUGUUUUCAACAAGUCACCUUAUAACCUCACUAUCCACUGGUAAAUUUAAUGAAUCUAAUCCCUCAUUAGAUAUUAAGCAUUAGCAAUAUUUACAUAUAUUACUCGGUUUUCCAAAGUAGUUUUUGACUUUGAGAAUAAAUUAAUUUAGUAAAUUUUUUCAUUGCAAAUACAUUAUUAGUUCCAGUUGUUUUCUCAUGAUCAAGCAACAAAAUUGAUUAUUAUUUUUGACUAAUUCCGAGCUGAUCACGUCUUAUGUUUUCCAAAUAAAAAUUAAAUUUCUACUGCAGUUAGUUUUUACUUCAAUUUUAAUCCAGUAGAGCUCCAACCAAGACUUCAAUAAUAAUCUUGCACAUAUUUUCUAUGAAUAAAAGACUAAAAGAUGUAAUCAAUAAUAAGCUUUUUUUUUUUCAUCCAAUACAGAAUUAAUUAAUCAAACAUAUGUACAAUUCAUAGAGCCCAACCAAAUAUUGAACAAUUUAUACUUAUGUUAUUAUUAGUACCAGUAAUUAUCGUUAUCAUAUUCAUCAUCUUCGAAUCUUAAUUGUUUUAUGAUGCUUUCAUCCGAGCAUUAAUGAAAAUUUCCAUGUAGGCAUGGAAUAUUUCAGUUACUAAGCGCCUGGGCAGAUGGACCAAGCAUGAUAACUCAAUGUCCAAUAACACCUGGAAAUAGCUACACUUACAAAUUUAGAAUCGUCAAUCAAGAAGGAACCCUUUGGUGGCAUGCUCACUUCUCAAUGCUACGUGCCACUGUCCAUGGAGCUCUUAUCAUCCGCCCUAGAUCUGGUCACAAGUAUCCAU
rnacentral:lncRNA from 1 species